rnacentral:rRNA from 1 species
GUUUAGGCCGUACCUUGUCCCGACACGUCUCUCCUCAAGUCCACUUGAUUGUGGCCCCAGGCCCAGAGAGGGUGUAAGGCCCGUGGAGGCGAGAUGUUCGGUACCUGGUGCGUCCUUAGAGUCGGGUUGUUUGGGAAUGCAGCCCUAAGCGGGUGGUAAACUCCAUCCAAGGCUAAAUACUAGCACGAGUCCGAUAGCGAAGAAGUACCGCGAGGGAAGGUUGAAAAGAACUUUGAAGAGAGAGUUCAAGAGUACGUGAAACCGCUGAGAGGCAAACUGGUGGAACUGAAAUGGUCCCGAGGAAUUCAGCCGUUGGAGGUUGCACAGUCGGUGGUGAUUGAUUUAACGACAGCGCCAUCGGAUGACGUUUCCAUCAUCGGUGCACUUUCCUCGUUUGGGCCCGACCACGACCGGUGAGUUGAUCUGUCUGUCGUGCUUGGAAGAUAGCGCCAUCUUCGGAAGGCGUGUUAUAGACUUGCAUACGGUACAGUCGACGCACUGGAUGAAAAUGCCUGCCCAUUUGGGCUCAUAUGGCGGCUGUUUUAUCGUCGAGUGCCGAUGUCACUACUUCGGUAGAGUCGUUGGCCUCUGAUGGCAUUAUGGUUGUCCUCUAUGAUUGGCAUUGUUAAGUCUGUGGUUGUGAAGUAGGUAGUCCACCUGACCCGUCUUGAAACACGGACCAAGGAGUCUAACAUGUGCGCGAGUCAUUGGGUUCACGAAACCUAAAGGCGCAGUGAAGGUAAAGAUCUGUUUUGGCAGAUUGAGGUGGGAUGCUGGGUUACGCGCCCAGCCGCNCUACCGGCCCGUUCUAUAUGUAUCUCAUAGGAGCGGA